GAGGAAAGUCCGGGCUCCACGGAAACCACGGUGCCGGAUAACGUCCGGCGGGCCGGUCCUCCGGGACCGGUUCAGGGAAAGUGCCACAGAGAGCAGACCGCCCAAGGCUUCGGCCCGGCGAAAGGUGAAAGGGUGCGGUAAGAGCGCACCGCGCGGACGGUAACGGACGCGGCACGGCAAACCCCACCGGGAGCAAGGUCGAAUAGGGAUGGCACGGAGAAAUCCAGGGUCGGUUCCGGCCCCGCCGUCCGGGUUGACUGCUCGAGCGUUCGGGUAACCGUUCGCCUAGAGGA
rnacentral:misc_RNA from 1 species